ensembl:snoRNA SNORA62 Small nucleolar RNA SNORA62/SNORA6 family
ACUGCAAUUAUCAGAGCUUGGAGUUAAGGCUGCUGGCUGGACAAUGAAGUCACAAGUGUAGGAAGUAUGCUACAUGACUAGGCAAGUCUUUUGCUAACACUGCAAGCGUCUUUAACACAAUGAGUGGAAUUUGAUAGUAAUUUUUGCUACAAGU